UACGGGAGGCAGCAGUGGGGAAUCUUGGACAAUGGGCGCAAGCCUGAUCCAGCCAUGCCGCGUGUGUGAAGAAGGCCUUCGGGUUGUAAAGCACUUUAAGUUGGGAGGAAGGGCAGUAAGUUAAUACCUUGCUGUUUUGACGUUACCAACAGAAUAAGCACCGGCUAACUUCGUGCCAGCAGCCGCGGUAAU
rnacentral:rRNA from 1 species